UACGUAGGGGGCAAGCGUUAUCCGGAUUUACUGGGUGUAAAGGGAGCGUAGACGGUUAUGCAAGUCGGAAGUGAAAGCCCAAAGCUCAACUUCGGGACUGCUUUUGAAACUGUGUAACUAGAGUGCAGGAGGGGUAAGCGGAAUUCCUAGUGUAGCGGUGAAAUGCGUAGAUAUUAGGAGGAACACCGGCGGCGAAGGCGGCUUACUGGACUGUAACUGACGUUGAGGCUCGAAAGCGUGGGGAGCAAACAGG
rnacentral:rRNA from 1 species